CGCAUCUGUGCAUGCAGCAUAUCAAUAAGCGGAGGAAAAGAAACUAACAAGGAUUCCCUCAGUAACGGCGAGUGAAGCGGGAAGAGCUCAAAUUUGAAAUCUUGAAAGGUCACCUUUCACGAAUUGUAGUUUAAAGAAGUGUUUUCUGUUACGAUCGUAAUAUAAGUUCUUUGGAAUAGGACAUCACAGAGGGUGAGAAUCCCGUCUAUGAUUGCGAUUUGUAGCUUUGUGAUACACUUUCAAAGAGUCGGGUUGUUUGGGAAUGCAGCCCAAAACGGGAGGUAAAUUUCUUCUAAGGCUAAAUAUUGGCGAGAGACCGAUAGCGAACAAGUACCGUGAGGGAAAGAUGAAAAGAACUUUGAAAAGAGAGUUAAAUAGUACGUGAAAUUGUCAAAAGGGAAGCGUUUAACACCAGUGUUGUUUUUCUGAAAAUCAACUUAGACUGUUUAUGCUAGCUGUUUAGACUUAAUCAGCUAUCUGUUUAUGUUUGAGCUUUUCUUUAGUGCACUUUUCAGUUACAGGUCAACAUCAGUUUUUUUUACCGUAAAAAGUUAAAGAAAGGUAGCUCAUGGCUCCGGUCGUGAGUGUUAUAGUCUUUUUCCUAUGCGGUAGGAGAGACUGAGGUCUGCAGUGUAGGCUAUUUGGCUAGAUACUCAGGUGCUAUGUGAUACCAUUUCAUAAACAACUUGUUGAUUAUGUUUUGUCUAUUGCAUACUCGCUUGUACUAUCAUACCUACGCUUAGGAUGUUGACGAUCAGCUGAGCGCG
rnacentral:rRNA from 1 species